rnacentral:rRNA from 1 species
GCUGGCGGCGUGCCUAAUACAUGCAAGUCGAGCGAACUGAUUAGAAGCUUGCUUCUAUGACGUUAGCGGCGGACGGGUGAGUAACACGUGGGCAACCUGCCUGUAAGACUGGGAUAACUUCGGGAAACCGAAGCUAAUACCGGAUAGGAUCUUCUCCUUCAUGGGAGAUGAUUGAAAGAUGGUUUCGGCUAUCACUUACAGAUGGGCCCGCGGUGCAUUAGCUAGUUGGUGAGGUAACGGCUCACCAAGGCAACGAUGCAUAGCCGACCUGAGAGGGUGAUCGGCCACACUGGGACUGAGACACGGCCCAGACUCCUACGGGAGGCAGCAGUAGGGAAUCUUCCGCAAUGGACGAAAGUCUGACGGAGCAACGCCGCGUGAGUGAUGAAGGCUUUCGGGUCGUAAAACUCUGUUGUUAGGGAAGAACAAGUAUGAGAGUAACUGCUCGUACCUUGACGGUACCUAACCAGAAAGCCACGGCUAACUACGUG